rnacentral:rRNA from 1 species
GAAUGCUGACAUAAGUAACGAUAAAGCGGGUGAAAAGCCCGCUCGCCGGAAGACCAAGGGUUCCUGUCCAACGUUAAUCGGGGCAGGGUGAGUCGACCCCUAAGGCGAGGCCGAAAGGCGUAGUCGAUGGGAAACAGGUUAAUAUUCCUGUACUUGGUGUUACUGCGAAGGGGGGACGGAGAAGGCUAUGUUGGCCGGGCGACGGUUGUCCCGGUUUAAGCGUGUAGGCUGGUUUUCCAGGCAAAUCCGGAAAACCAAGGCUGAGGCGUGAUGACGAGGCACUACGGUGCUGAAGCGACAAAUGCCCUGCUUCCAGGAAAAG